CCUACGGGAGGCAGCAGUGAGGAAUAUUGGUCAAUGGACGAGAGUCUGAACCAGCCAAGUAGCCUGAAGGAUGACUGCCCUAUGGGUUGUAAACUUCUUUUAUAUGGGAAUAAAAUGUUCCACGUGUGGGAUUUUGUAUGUACCAUAUGAAUAAGGAUCGGCUAACUCCGUGCCAGCAGCCGCGGUAAUACGGAGGAUCCGAGCGUUAUCCGGAUUUAUUGGGUUUAAAGGGAGCGUAGGUGGAUUGUUAAGUCAGUUGUGAAAGUUUGCGGCUCAACCGUAAAAUUGCAGUUGAAACUGGCAGUCUUGAGUACAGUAGAGGUGGGCGGAAUUCGUGGUGUAGCGGUGAAAUGCUUAGAUAUCACGAAGAACUCCGAUUGCGAAGGCAGUUCACUGGACUGCAACUGACACUGAGGCUCGAAAGUGUGGGUAUCAAACAGGAUUAGAUACCCCAGUAGUC
rnacentral:rRNA from 1 species